CCUUCAGUGAUGAGUAUCCUCUAUGACUUUCGUUCUUCUGAGAUUGCUGAAGCAAUUUUUUCUUAUCUGAGAAGG